GGUUACAUUUUUUAAUGUUGAUCCACUAGGAAAUCAUUGGUGUCGUUAUGGCAUUGAUAGCCUGACAACUGGACAUUUAUUAAGGUUUAGUACAUACAACACACAGCACCCUAAACUUCGCAGAUAUCAGCCAGUAACAAACAAGACGCACAGGUCAAGACAGGCAAUUUAUGAUAUACAAAAAAAAAUCUGAGAGUGGGUUGGGGAUACAGCGGGCUCUGUUUGAAUUGUCAACGCUUUUACACGCAGGGGGACAGCACGUGUAGGAGACGCGGUCUGCAACCCAGCCGGUCCUGGCUUGGGGGCCGGCGCUCGGAAGAUGGCUGACGGCUUCGCUACUGCCAACGGAGAGCGCAGCUGACAGGUGAGCGGAACACGCGGAUGCAUGUCCCAGCAGGACGAUGGUCUCGGCCCGCCGCGUGGAUCCGUGACCCCCCGUCCUGCGGCCGGAGCCCGGGGUGAGCCGGCUGUGCCUGCGCCAGGUGUGACAGGAAAUCCCCGGGCGUAAUUGGAUCGUCAAACCGCUGCAUCCCCAAGAAGUCGGCUCCGGUCGCAGUCACCAGUCUUUUUUAACCUCGUCCUCUCUGCGUUUCAAGGAUUUCAUUGGAUGUGCUUUGCUGCAGAAUCAUGGAUGGAAGCAUGGUAGCAGCCUUGGAGAAACUCUGCAGGGGUGCGAUCAGCCUAUCCCAGUUUCCUUAGGCAUGACACAAAGGAUUUAGGGAGAAUGGAAAUGCAGGUCGAUUAUGCAAGUGAUGCUGCAGAAAAAACAAUAGCAGCAGAAAGGAAGCGAUCAAAACAGCAGAAAGAAUACUACAAGG